AAAACCUUAAAAGAAAAACACUUCCCAAACAUUUCCCAAAUCUACCUCAAGUUCAAAUUAUAUCAGACAGACAGAAACUCUCUUAUUUACUUUGGAAAAUGCCCAAAUGCCAAAUCAUGGCAGCAAAAUUUAUCUCCUCAUACUACAAACUGAGGACAACCAGUGGAAACUCAUUAUUAUUAUUAGUUUAAUUAUUGUUUGUAAUUUUAAAAGAGAGAGGCUAAGCAUUUGGUCAAAAAAAUAAUUCACUUUUAAACCUGAUUUGAUGUUUUAUGAAUUCUAAUUAUAUGCAGGUUUAAUGAAAGAGGUUAAUUGAGCCUCAUUUUGUCGUCUCUCCCAUCAGUUAGACUCUGGUCCUGUGUAUGAGAACAUCUCAGACUUUAAGAGCGUCACUGCAGCACAGACAGAAGACACAGAGCAGCAGGAAGACAUGGUGUGAAGUCCAGUCAGAUGCAGUUGAACCAGACUCAUGGAAACAAAGUAGGACGACUGAAAUAUCAACGCGGAGAUCGAAGCUGUGGAGGAAGUGGAUCCAUUUACCUACAACUCCAAACGUUUUCCUUUUCAGUUUCCAGUAGCAGCAGCAGGGUGGAGUCAGCAGCACAGACAGCAGCCGCAUGUAGCAGAAAGUUUAGAAGAAGGUGGUGUUGGCAGGUUGAACUGAAUCAUGUCGACGUUUCAGACGUGAUUUAUUGUUUAGAUCAGCGGAUAGUCAGGUUGUCUGUGACUUAUCUUACUGCUUAAACUAUAAUGUAAGCUUAUUAUUUCCAGUUAGUUAUAUUAGUUAGUUAUAUUACAGAAUGUGAGGACUGAACUGUGAAGUUUUUAUGGAAAAUGUUAUUUUGAACUGAACAAAAUAAACAACUUCUGUGUUUGCA